CUGGAUGCAUCUACUACAGAUUGAGAUCCUACCUGAUCCCAAAACAAAUUUAGCAUGGGAAAUGCACAACUCCCUGCCAUUGUGCCUCAGGUGUGACCUGGAGGGACCAACCCUAGGGGUGAGUAGCUCUGUCUUCCUGCCUGUCCAUUCGUUGGUGCCA
rnacentral:sRNA from 1 species